ACCGAAAUAGCUCAGUUGGGAGAGCGUUAGACUAUAGAUCGAAAAGUCCCUGGUUCGAUCCCGGGUUACGGCA
rnacentral:tRNA from 1 species